AUUGAACGCUGGCGGCAGGCCUAACACAUGCAAGUCGAGCGGAUGAAGGGAGCUUGCUCCUGGAUUCAGCGGCGGACGGGUGAGUAAUGCCUAGGAAUCUGCCUGGUAGUGGGGGAUAACGUCCGGAAACGGGCGCUAAUACCGCAUACGUCCUGAGGGAGAAAGUGGGGGAUCUUCGGACCUCACGCUAUCAGAUGAGCCUAGGUCGGAUUAGCUAGUUGGUGGGGUAAAGGCCUACCAAGGCGACGAUCCGUAACUGGUCUGAGAGGAUGAUCAGUCACACUGGAACUGAGACACGGUCCAGACUCCUACGGGAGGCAGCAGUGGGGAAUAUUGGACAAUGGGCGAAAGCCUGAUCCAGCCAUGCCGCGUGUGUGAAGAAGGUCUUCGGAUUGUAAAGCACUUUAAGUUGGGGGGAAGGGCAGUAAGUUAAUACCUUGCUGUUUUGACGUUACCAAUAGAAUAAGCACCGGCUAACUUCGUG
rnacentral:rRNA from 1 species